UACGUAGGGUGCAAGCGUUAAUCGGAAUUACUGGGCGUAAAGCGUGCGCAGGCGGUUCGGCAAGUGAGGUGUGAAAUCCCAGGGCUUAACCUUGGAACUGCACUUCUAACUACCGGGCUAGAGUACGUCAGAGGGGGGUAGAAUUCCACGUGUAGCAGUGAAAUGCGUAGAGAUGUGGAGGAAUACCGAUGGCGAAGGCAGCGCCCUGGGAUGAUACUGACGCUCAUGCACGAAAGCGUGGGGAGCAAACAGG
rnacentral:rRNA from 1 species